rnacentral:rRNA from 1 species
UGAAACACGGACCAAGGAGUCUAGCAUGUGCGCGAGUCAUUGGGAAUCACAAAACCUAAAGGCGCAAUGAAAGUGAAGGCCCGCCCUGCGCGGGCCGAGGGAAGAUGGGCGUGUCCGUGAUUACCACGGCCGCUCCGCACUCCCGGGGCGUCUCGUUCUCAUCGCGAGAAGAGGCGCACCAAGAGCGUACACGCUGGGACCCGAAAGAUGGUGAACUAUGCCUGGUCAGGACGAAGUCAGGGGAAACCCUGAUGGAGGUCCGUAGCGAUUCUGACGUGCAAAUCGAUCGUCGGAACUGGGUAUAGGGGCGAAAGACUAAUCGAACCAUCUAGUAGCUGGUUCCCUCCGAAGUUUCCCUCAGGAUAGCUGGCGCUCGUCGCCUACGAGUCUCAUCCGGUAAAGCGAAUGAUUAGAGGCAUUGGGGUCGAAACGGCCUCAACCUAUUCUCAAACUUUAAAUGGGUGAGAUCUCCGGCUUGCUCGAACUGUUGAAGCCGCGAGACACGGAUCAGAGUGCCAAGUGGGCCAUUUUUGGUAAGCAGAACUGGCGCUGUGGGAUGAACCAAACGCCGAGUUAAAGCGCCUAAAUCGACGCUUAUGGGAUACCAUGAAAGGCGUUGGUAACUUAAGACAGCAGGACGGUGGCCAUGGAAGUCGGAAUCCGCUAAAA